rfam:Schistocephalus solidus strain NST_G2 genome assembly, scaffold: SSLN_scaffold0003858
GGUCUCGUAGCUCAGUUGGUUAGAGUGUUGGCUACACUAAAGCCUUGCCCUUGCUGGCGUGGGUUCGAAUACCACCGAGGCCG